GACGAACGCUGGCGGCGUGCUUAACACAUGCAAGUCGAGCGGUAAGGCCCUUUCGGGGGUACGACGAGCGGCGAACGGGUGAGUAACACGUGGGUGACCUGCCCUUACGCUCUGGGAUAAGCCUGGGAAACUGGGUCUAAUACCGGAUAUGACUCCAUAACGCAUGUUGUGGGGUGGAAAGCCUUGUGCGGCUAGGGAUGGGCCCGCGGCCUAUCAGCUUGUUGGUGGGGUGAUGGCCUACCAAGGCGACGACGGGUAGCCGGCCUGAGAGGGCGACCGGCCACACUGGGACUGAGACACGGCCCAGACUCCUACGGGAGGCAGCAGUGGGGAAUCUUGCGCAAUGGGCGAAAGCCUGACGCAGCGACGCCGCGUGGGGAUGACGGCCUCGGUUGUAA
rnacentral:rRNA from 1 species